UUAAAAUGUUCCGAUCCAGAGGUGAACUCUGUCGAAAAUGAACCUGACACUAGUAUUCUUUGUUUUCCUCCUCCUCUUAUUUAAAUCUGUUUCAAGGCUCCUCAUCGAGUGUCGUUAUGGGUCGAUACAAUUACUUUGAACAAAUUAAAGAGUUUAAAGCUUGCUCCAUAUGCUUGAAUAUUUCGUAUGUGAUAUAAUGAAACAAGACCUCUGCUCCACUGUCAUUAGUUUUUAGAUCAGAAGAAAUUAGUUAAUAGAAGCAGUUUGCGGGCAUUGGUAUUAUGACACAAGAGAUGAAAUUCUUGGACCAUCGUAAAACUAACUUAAGCGAAAGCAUUUAGUAAAUCAAGAGCGAAAGUUAGAGGUGCGAUCAGAUACCGUCCAAUUGGGUAUAUUUUUGUACUAUUAUGGCUGUCUUAGUCGCUUCUCCGGAAACCAAGGCCUUUGAGAU
rnacentral:ncRNA from 1 species